rnacentral:rRNA from 1 species
UACGUAGGGCGCAAGCGUUUAUCCGGAAUUAUUGGGCGUAAAGAGCUCGUAGGCGGUUUGUCGCGUCUGCUGUGAAAGACCGGGGCUCAACUCCGGUUCUGCAGUGGGUACGGGCAGACUAGAGUGCAGUAGGGGAGACUGGAAUUCCUGGUGUAGCGGUGAAAUGCGCAGAUAUCAGGAGGAACACCGAUGGCGAAGGCAGGUCUCUGGGCUGUAACUGACGCUGAGGUGCGAAAGCGUGGGGAGCAAACAGG